CUGUACAGUUCAGAGUUUGAUCCUGGCUCAGGAUGAACGCUGGCGGCGUGCCUAACACAUGCAAGUCGAACGAAGCACUCUUGUUGAUCCUUCGGGUGAUACUUUAGUGACUGAGUGGCGGACGGGUGAGUAACGCGUGGGUAACCUGCCCUGUACAGGGGGAUAACAGUCAGAAAUGACUGCUAAUACCGCAUAGGCGCACGAAGGGACAUCCCUUUGUGUGAAAAACUCCGGUGGUACAGGAUGGGCCCGCGUCUGAUUAGCUUGUUGGCGGGGUAAAGGCCCACCAAGGCGACGAUCAGUAGCCGGUCUGAGAAGAUGAACGGCCACAUUGGAACUGAGACACGGUCCAA
rnacentral:rRNA from 1 species